rnacentral:rRNA from 1 species
GACGAACCGUGCGAACGUUAAUCGGAUUCAUUGGGCUUAAAGGGCGCGUAGGCGGCGGCGUAAGUUCGUGGUGAAAUCCCAUCGGCUCAACCGUGGAAUUGCUUCGAAUACUGCGUCGCUCGAGGGAGAUAGGGGACCGCAGAACUGCCGGUGGAGCGGUGAAAUGUGUUGAUAUCGGCGGGAAUGCCAGUGCCGAAAGGGGCGGUCUGGACCUCUUCUGACGCUGAGGCGCGAAAGCGUGGGGAGCGAACAGG